rnacentral:tRNA from 1 species
AAAUAAGAAGCGAACUUUGCAACCAGUUUCGACCUGGAAAACUUGAUGUUAAUACAUCCUUAUUUA